rnacentral:rRNA from 1 species
GACGAACGCUGGCGGCGUGCUUAACACAUGCAAGUCGAACGGAAAGGCCCUGCUUUUGUGGGGUGCUCGAGUGGCGAACGGGUGAGUAACACGUGAGUAACCUGCCCUUGACUUUGGGAUAGCUUCAGGAAACUGGGGCUAAUACCGGAGGAGCUCCUGCUGCAUGGUGGGGGUUGGAAAGUUUCGGCGGUUGGGGAUGGACUCGCGGCUUAUCAGCUUGUUGGUGGGGUAGUGGCUUACCAAGGCUUUGACGGGUAGCCGGCCUGAGAGGGUGACCGGCCACAUUGGGACUGAGAUACGGCCCAGACUCCUACGGGAGGCAGCAGUGGGGAAUAUUGCACAAUGGGCGGAAGCCUGAUGCAGCAACGCCGCGUGCGGGAUGACGGCCUUCGGGUUGUAAACCGCUUUCGCCUGUGACGAAGCGUGAGUGACGGUAAUGGGUAAAGAAGCACCGGCUAACUACGUG